rnacentral:rRNA from 1 species
UACGUAGGGUCCAAGCGUUGUCCGGAUUUAUUGGGCGUAAAGAGCUCGUAGGUGGUUCAGUAAGUCGGAUGUGAAAACUCGGGGCUCAACCCCGAGACGCCAUCCGAUACUGCUGUGACUUGAGUCUGGUAGGGGAGAUCGGAAUUCCUGGUGUAGCGGUGAAAUGCGCAGAUAUCAGGAGGAACACCGGUGGCGAAGGCGGAUCUCUGGGCCAGUACUGACACUGAGGAGCGAAAGCGUGGGUAGCAAA